ensembl:scaRNA small Cajal body-specific RNA 14
GUGGCUGUCUUCACUGUUGGCUGCAUUUGCUAGAAAUGGAAUGCAACCAUAAGCAGCCACAAACAGUAAAGCAAAUGGUUCCUGCCGACAGUGUCUGUAGAGUUAUCAGAUUUUUCUGUGCGAUGGUUCCAUACAUU